ACAUUCAGUCGGUGCAGGCUAGAGAAAGUGGAAGAUUAAGUUCCGAAGACCGUCAAAGUGCUCAAAAAGAAGCAUAAUGGAUUUUCUCGACAGUUUUUCAACACUAUUGUCAACCAGCACAGGAAUGUAUGUGUGCUGUCAGAGCAAGCCACCAACGUCCUAUCAGCUGGUCGCCACGGAACAACAGAAUCCUGAGAGGUUCAGUAAAGUCAAGGUGUAUAGAUUUGUGGAUAAUGAAAAUAAGAUCUGCAUGGCGUUUUGCUUUAAGACAGGAAAGCACUCCGUUUUCCCUGUUAUUACCCACAGUGAUGAAGUCGAUUUUAAGACUUUAACCUCAGAUGAGAUUGCUAAAGGAAAGGUUCACAAGUCAUUUUUAUUUAAACCGGGUGAGGGAAGCAACAGUCCAUUUAUGAGCUUGAAAUCUGUGUAUAAACCCGACAAGUACCUGUGUGUUGAUCAAAAUGAAAGGAGCAAAGUGACCCUCUAUUCAGAAGACAUGCCGGAUUUUAAAAUUGAUGACCUCUGUAAGCACAAAGAACUUCAAAGAACCAACUGCCAACCGCUAAGCAGGAUCCUGGACCAGACAACCUCUUCUCGUGAGAAAUCAGUGGAACCAUCUAAGUGCUCUAACAGAAAAGGCAAGAGGAUGAAGUUUUCAUUGAAGAGCUGUGUCUCUUUUUGUCGCUGAACAUUGUCUUCAACAGAAGGCUGUAAUCUGCCUACAUCAUUUUUUUUCCUUGAGAAAAAAGGAAACCUGGACACUGACAAUAUAUGUGGUAUCUGAAACAGGAGCAUCAUUUAUAUUCUUACUGUAAAACAACCUGCAUAUUAAAGUUUUUUCACAAUGAAAGUGUACUUAUUUUAAAGAAAACUUAUCAAAUCAAUUCAUAAAACAUCCCUUUAACAUGGUAUUCUCAAGUGCUUGAAUCAUAACUGCUUAAGCAAUUUCCUGACACUUUUGAUUAUGCUGAACUUUGACCUCUGACUGUAUUGUUUUAUUACAAAAGGCUGGGAUGAGGUUGCAAUAGUUCACCAAAGUAAAUAGACACUUUUUAAUAACCAUAUAACUGCAAAAAGGAUAUUUUCUUUCAUGUUCUAUAUUUUAUUUUAACAGGAAAUUGUCAUUAGGUCUGCACAAUAUAUCGUUUCAGCAUUGAUGUAUGUGCAAUGUGAUCAUUCACAAUAGUCAUAUCGCACGAUCUGCAUUGUCGAGUUCAGCUUCAGUUUAUUCAUCCCUCAGGAAAUUUAAGUGCAAUUAUAGCUGAUCAAGUACCAUAUUAUUGAGCGAUACUGAAGUUUAACCUUAUUAGAGUGAAAUAGUGCUUGUUUGCUUUGUUUUUAAGGCCUACGACAGUAUGAUUUCAAGUGCAUUUAAAUAAUUUGUGUACAAGAAAUUAUAACUAUUUAGCUUUUUUUAAAUUAAUUAACUUAUACAGUUAUACUCCCAAAAAGAAAUCUGGACUAAAAAAUCAUCCCAAUCAAUAUAAAAUACUACAAUAAGGCACAAGACGUGAUUGUUGCGUGGUUUGUUGCUAUUUUCAGACCAGCGCAACCUAAAUUUUCUAGUUUUGCACCACGUUGUUUAAGUAGCAAAUUCGUUUGAGCUGCUUUGUGCACUCAUGGGUUUCUAGAAAGGAGGUGUGUUAAGGCACAUUGUUGGUGAGUUGGUACUGUAUUUUGAGGAACUCAAAUAGAUUGCGCAAAUGACCAGCUGAAAGUUGUGCAUCUUAAACACGUACACGUUGCUUAAUAUACAUAGAAUGUACAGCAAUACACAAAUAUCUUUACAAAUGAAAAAUAAUUAAAGGAUUAAAUUGUUACAAAAACGAUUGUUUUCUACAUAAAUAUAAAAACCACUGGCUCCAUCUCGGGGGGCUUUUUUAGUUUAUUCAUGAAAAUAUGCAUUUGUUAUAAUGUUGUUAUUAUUAUUAUUAGUAUUAUUAUUUAUUAUAUGCACAUUUAUAUAUGUUUUAAUAAAAAAAAAAAAACAAGUUUAGAUUUGUCCACCUGUCUGGUUUUGGAAACGUUUGCAUCACCAUAUGCGGCAUAAGAAUAGGAUGUGUGUUUUUUGACCACCUUCAUUGUUGUUUAUUAAUUUGCUGGAAAUUAGAACUGCAUUUAGAAAUAGUUUUGAAACAAAUCUUUGUGCUUAACAAACUAAAUUAAAUAUGUAGGCUAAUGGAUGUCUUCAGUGGAGUACGUACAACAGCGUUUCAGUUUAGAGGCCAAAUAGAGGAGGCUCAUUCUUUCUCCUCAUGCUGCACAUGGUCUGUUUAACUGUUUUCUUGCUAGUGAAGCGUUCAGUUUUUCCACUUACAAAGUCCGCCAAAUAAAUAGCAAAUGCACUGUGGCGUGAUGCAACUGACUCUUAAGCCGCCUUUCCACUGCACACGACAUUUGGAUAGGACUGUCAGAAUACCCCCCUUGUGGCAGUCACACAGAAUGUUUUUAGUGUUGUCAAGCACCAUGGGAGAGAAGCUGAUUCUAGUGGUGUCUAAAAUAAAGGAGUGCAAAAAGAGCCUUUAUUCUCCGUGUGUUCAAUAAUCUUUGAAUGAAUGAAUGAAUGAAUACUAGAAACUCAUAGACCACUAAAAAUUUUAGACGGAAUUUGGAGACAACAAAUACAUUUAUAAUUUUUAUUACUCGUUUAUGAAUCCAAAUGUUUUUUUUUUUUUUAAUAUAGACUUUUUUUCUGAAUCAAAAAAUAAUGAAAAAAUAUCCUAUUUCACAUCUCACGCACGGACCUGCUUGGACAACACUGGAAUACAUCAAAUCCGGUCGUCUGGUCGCAUACGGUCUAGUCGCAGGAUUUCAAAUAUUUCAAUGUGUCCGCAGCUCAAAUCAGAUCUGAAUUUUCCGCAUAAGAAGAUGAUGGGAAGUCCCGGAUUACUCUCUAUUGGAAAUGAUUGACUUCCGGACUGUCGCUUGUCAUAUGCAGUGGAAAGGCGGCUUUAAAAGGAAUGGGAGAUGAAUGGUUUAAUUCACGUAAUGCUCAAAACACACCCAUAACUCAUUAGGAGUAUAAGCACAACCCUGUUUGACCAUGCGCCAGGGAGCAAACCAUAUUUUCAGACACACCCUCAAUGCUUUUGCAACAUGCACUUUAGACUUAAAGCCCUAUGAGUUUAUUCCAAGUUGACCUUUUUAGUCAUCUGGUGAAAUAAUUAUAUUCAUAUCGCAGAAAAACUAAAUAUCACAAUGUCCGAUUUUUCCAAUAUCAUGCAGCCUUAAUUGUCACAUUGUCAAAUUAUGAUCGCCCUUUACUUCUUUCUAAAAAAGUUUGCGUUGUUGUUUUUUUCUUCUCUUAAACACUAAAGAAGAUACUUUAAAGAAAGAUAAAAACCUGUAACCAUUGACUUCCACAGUAUUUGUGAUCCCUACUAUGAAAGUCAGUGGUUACAGGUUUCGGCUUUCUUCAGAAUACCUUCUUUAGUGUUCAACAGAAUAAACUGACUGUUUUGGGAAAAGUAAAGGUUGAGCAAAUUUUGGAAAGAACUGUCCCUUUAACCUCAUGUCAGCACUGAGCAAUAAUACAGUAAGCAGUGCAGCCUAAAUGUGCAGGAAUGGCGUAAUCAGUUAUGAAACACAGUUUAAGCAAUGCAUGAAAUGAGAGUAAAUGAUUACAGUAAUUUACAUCACUGCUGAAUGAAUCAGCCGUUUGAGCGAAUCCCAUGAACAUUACUGUGGGAGUUAAGGUGUGGGUUAUUUUGGGUUGUGAUGAAAGAAAUAUGAAUUUAAAAAUGCAUUAUAUUUGUGUAUAUUUAUUCUCUUAUUAAGUCUGGCUGUAAAGGCAAGACUAUGUAUUUCUUUUUUAGUGGUUGAUUAUUUUUCUAAUAACAACAAUAACAUGCAAGAUCUAUUUUUUAUGAAUAUGUCUAUUAAAUGUAUGUCUAUACCACUAUUUUUUGAUCGUAUGUACUGGUUAACAAAUGGGCAAAUGCCUGAGAAAUGCCUCACAGCAAGAAGUUUGCUGGUUUGAGUCCCAGCUAGACCAGUUAACAUUUCUAUGUGGAGUUUGCAUGUUCUCCCUGUGUUGGUGUGGGUUUUCUCCGGGUGCUCUGGAUUCCUUCACUGUCCAAAGACUUGUGGUACAGGUGAAUUGGAUAAAAAAUUAUUGCUGUAGUGUAUGAGUGUGUGUGAAUAUGAGUGUGUAUGGAUGUUUCCUGGUACUGGGUUGUAGCUGGAAGGGCAUCAGCUGUGUAAACAUAAGCUGGAAUAGUUGGCGGUUCAUCCCACUGAAGGAAAAUGAAUGGCUGACAAAUUUAGUGAUUAUAAAAAGAGCUCUCUUUGUGUGAUUCAGUCACAAAUGUACAUUUAUUUUGUCUCAAGGCUGUGUGUGAAUUUUCUUUCAGCCUUUUCCAUGUGUAAAAUACCUUCCACAGCUAUGCAACUGAAUAAAUGACGUAGAGAUUUAUUCAAUAGGCAUUUUACAAGCAUCUGCUGCCAGUUUCAUUUGAUUAUUUAUAAUAAAAAUCAAUUAUGUAUUUAUUAUUUACUCUCAAUUUUACUAAGAAAAUACCAAGAAGUUUCUCAGAUUUUCUUUUAUUAUUAUAGUUUAUAUUAAGCUACUGUAACCUAUGGCUAUUGGUUUUAAAUGCUGUAUUUUAUGUUUAAUCAAAUAAAUGUCAUGUAUGUUAUAUAUUGUAGAAAGCUCUAAAGCAAAAAAAAGUCUUUUUUUUUCUAUAUGAAGUUUUUUGUCAUUUUACAAAAUAAAGGCUUUGAACCGUCUUUUGUUGGUCAUUUUUAUUUAACUGAUGGUUUAAAGAUGGUAAGAUAUAGAAACAACAGCAAAGAAAUUAAUUUACUUUAAACUCAUUAAAAGUGACAGUAAAACAUUUAUAAUGUUUGUUUAUAUACAUUUAUAC
ensembl:lincRNA